AGAGUUUGAUCCUAGCUCAGGAUGAACGCUGGCGGCGUGGAUAAGGCAUGCAAGUCACGGGGGCAGCAAUGCAACCGGCAGACGAGGUAGUAAUGCGCAGGUACGCACCGAAGAGUCGGGUAUAGCUCGUCGAAAGACGGGGUAAUCCCCGAUAGUCUCUCCGGAGUAAAGGAGUCUAUUUAUUUAGAUUUCCGCUUUUUGAGCGGCCUGCGUGGUAUCAGCUAGUUGGUAAGGUAAUGGCUUACCAAGGCUACGACACCUAGGGGACCUGAGAGGGUGACCCCCACCGAUGGGACUGAGACACGGCCCAUACACCUACGGGUGGCUGCAGUCAAGAAACUUCCACAAUGG
rnacentral:rRNA from 1 species